rnacentral:rRNA from 1 species
GACGAACGCUGGCGGCGUGCUUAACACAUGCAAGUCGAACGCUGAAGACCUGGCUUUUGUUGGGUUGGAUGAGUGGCGAACGGGUGAGUAACACGUGAGUAACCUGCCCUCUUCUUUGGGAUAACGCCCGGAAACGGGUGCUAAUACUGGAUAUUCACUGAUCUUCGCAUGGGGGUUGGUGGAAAGGUUUGUUCUGGUGGGGGAUGGGCUCGCGGCCUAUCAGCUUGUUGGUGGGGUGAUGGCCUACCAAGGCUUUGACGGGUAGCCGGCCUGAGAGGGUGACCGGUCACAUUGGGACUGAGAUACGGACCAGACUCGUACGGGAGGCAGCAGUGGGGAAUAUUGCACAAUGGGCGAAAGCAUGAUGCAGCGACGCUGCGUGAGGGAUGGAGGCCUUCGGGUUGUAAACCUCUUUCGCUCAUGGUCAAGCCGCAACUGUGGGUUGUGGUGAGGGUAGUGGGUAAAGAAGCGCCGGCUAACUACGUG